rnacentral:rRNA from 1 species
UGCGUAGGCGGUUUACUAAGUCAGAUGUGAAAGCCCCGGGCUUAACCUGGGAACUGCAUUUGAUACUGGUAGGCUAGAGUAUGAUAGAGGGGGGUAGAAUUCCUGGUGUAGCGGUGAAAUGCGUAGAUAUCAGGAGGAAUACCAGUGGCGAAGGCCGGCCCCCUGGAUCAAUACUGACGCUGAGGUACGAAAGCGUGGGUAGCGAACA